GACGAACCGUGCGAACGUUGUUCGGAAUCACUGGGCUUAAAGGGCGCGUAGGCGGGCUGUCAAGUCUGGGGUGAAAUGCCGCGGCUCAACCGUGGAACUGCCUUAGAUACUGACGGCCUCGAGGGAGGUAGGGGCGUGCGGAACUGUAGGUGGAGCGGUGAAAUGCGUAGAUAUCUGGAGGAACACCGGUGGCGAAGGCGGCUAUCUGGACAGAGUCUGACGCUGAGGCGCGAAGGCCAGGGGAGCAACGGG
rnacentral:rRNA from 1 species